rnacentral:rRNA from 1 species
GAUGAACGCUAGCGGCAGGCUUAACACAUGCAAGUCGAGGGGCAGCGGGGACUUCGGUCCGCCGGCGACCGGCAAACGGGUGCGGAACACGUACGCAACUUACCCUUAUCUGGGGGAUAGCCCGGUGAAAACCGGAUUAACACCUCAUGGUAUUAUUGAGAGGCAUCUUUUGGUAAUUAAAAAUUUAUUGGAUAGGGAUGGGCGUGCGUAAGAUUAGGUAGUUGGUGAGGUAACGGCUCACCAAGCCGACGAUCUUUAGCUGAUGUGAGAGCAUGAUCAGCCACACGGGCACUGAGACACGGGCCCGACUCCUACGGGAGGCAGCAGUGAGGAAUAUUGGUCAAUGGACGCAAGUCUGAACCAGCCAUGCCGCGUGCAGGAUGACGGCCCUAUGGGUUGUAAACUGCUUUUCCACGGAAGAACCCUCCGACGUGUCGGAGACUGACGGUACCGUGGGAAUAAGCAUCGGCUAACUCCGUG